GACGAACGCUGGCGGCGUGCUUAACACAUGCAAGUCGAACGGAAAGGCCCUGCUUUUGUGGGGUGCUCGAGUGGCGAACGGGUGAGUAACACGUGAGUAACCUGCCCUUGACUUUGGGAUAACUUCAGGAAACUGGGGCUACUACCGGAUAGGAGCUCCUGCUGCAUGGUGGGGGUUGGAAAGUUUCGGCGGUUGGGGAUGGACUCGCGGCUUAUCAGCUUGUUGGUGGGGUAGUGGCUUACCAAGGCUUUGACGGGUAGCCGGCCUGAGAGGGUGACCGGCCACAUUGGGACUGAGAUACGGCCCAGACUCCUACGGGAGGCAGCAGUGGGGAAUAUUGCACAAUGGGCGGAAGCCUGAUGCAGCAACGCCGCGUACGGGAUGACGGCCUUCGGGUUGUAAACCGCUUUCGCCUGUGACGAAGCGUGAGUGACGGUAAUGGGUAAAGAAGCACCGGCUAACUACGUG
rnacentral:rRNA from 1 species